UACGUAGGGUGCGAGCGUUGUCCGGAAUUAUUGGGCGUAAAGAGCUUGUAGGUGGCUCGUCGCGUCGGGCGUGAAAACCCGCGGCUUAACCGCGGGCCUGCUUUCGAUACGGGCGGGCUAGAGUUCGGCAGGGGAGACUGGAAUUCCUGGUGUAGCGGUGGAAUGCGCAGAUAUCAGGAGGAACACCGGUGGCGAAGGCGGGUCUCUGGGCCGAUACUGACACUGAGAAGCGAAAGCGUGGGGAGCGAACAGG
rnacentral:rRNA from 1 species